rnacentral:rRNA from 1 species
UACGAAGGGGGCAAGCGUUGGUCGGAAUUACUGGGCGUAAAGGGCGCGUAGGCGGCUUAUCAAGUCAGGCGUGAAAUUCCCGGGCUCAACCUGGGGGCUGCGCUUGAUACUGAUGAGCUUGAAUGCGGGAGAGGAUAGUGGAAUUCCCAGUGUAGAGGUGAAAUUCGUAGAUAUUGGGAAGAACACCAGUGGCGAAGGCGGCCAUCUGGCCCGGUACUGACGCUGAGACGCGAAAGCGUGGGGAGCAAACAGG